rnacentral:rRNA from 1 species
GACGAACGCUGGCGGCGUGCUUAACACAUGCAAGUCGAACGGAGUGGCGAACGGGUGAGUAACACGUGGGUGCUCUGCCUUGCACUUCGGGUAAAGCUUGGGAAACUGGAUCCAAUACCCGAUCGUGCAAGAUGGGCUCGUGGCCUAUAAGCUUGUUGGUGGGGUAAUGGCCUAGCAAGGCGUCGACGGCUCGCCGGCCUGGGAGGGUGUACGGCGACAUGGCGACUGAGGUACGGACCAGACUGCGACGUGGGGCAGCGGUGGGGAGUAUUGCACAAGGGGCGGGAGCGUGAUGCAGCGACGCCGGGGUGGGGAUGAAGGCCUUCGGGUUGUGAACUCCUUUCGGCAGGGACGCGGUACCUGUAUAAGAAGCACCGGCUAACUACGUGCCAGCAGCCGCGGUAAUAC